GAUGAACGCUGGCGGCGUGCCUAAUACAUGCAAGUCGAGCGAACAGACGAGGAGCUUGCUCCUCUGACGUUAGCGGCGGACGUGUGAGUAACACGUGGAUAACCUACCUAUAAGACUGGGAUAACUUCGGGAAACCGGAGCUAAUACCGGAUAAUAUAUUGAACCGCAUGGUUCAAUAGUGAAAGACGGUUUUGCUGUCACUUAUAGAUGGUUCCGCGCCGCAUUAGCUAGUUGGUAAGGUAACGGCUUACCAAGGCAACGAUGCGUAGCCGACCUGAGAGGGUGAUAGGCCACACUGGAACGGAGACACGGUCCAGACGCCUACGGGAGGCAGCAGUAGGGAAUCUUCCGCAAUGGGCGAAAGCCUGACGGAGCAACGCCGCGUGAGUGAUGAAGGUCUUCGGAUCGUAAAACUCUGUUAUUAGGGAAGAACAAAUGUGUAAGUAACUAUGCACGUCUUGACGGUACCUAAUCAGAAAGCCACGGCUAACUACGUG
rnacentral:rRNA from 1 species